rnacentral:rRNA from 1 species
AGCGAACGCUGGCGGCAGGCCUAACAUAUGCAAGUCGAACGAACCUUUCGGGGUUAGUGGCGGACGGGUGAGUAACACGUGGGAACGUGCCUUUAGGUUCGGAAUAACUCAGGGAAACUUGUGCUAAUACCGAAUGUGCCCUUCGGGGGAAAGAUUAAUCGCCUUUAGAGCGGCCCGCGUCUGAUUAGCUAGUUGGUUGAGGUAAUGGCUCACCAAGGCGACGAUCAGUAGCUGGUCUGAGAGGAUGAUCAGCCACAUUGGGACUGAGACACGGCCCAAACUCCUACGGGAGGCAGCAGUGGGGAAUCUUGCGCAAUGGGCGAAAGCCUGACGCAGCCAUGCCGCGUGAAUGAUGAAGGUCUUAGGAUUGUAAAAUUCUUUCACCGGGGACGAUAAUGACGGUACCCGGAGAAGAAGCCCCGGCUAACUUCGUG